CAAACUCAACACAAAGCAACUUCAAACACAUAUUAACAUGUCUUAAAAAGUGCCACAUCAAAAUCAAUAAGCAAGUUCAAAUGGUAGACAAGAGAAGCUAAUGACCAAUUCAAGGCAUACAAAUGGACAAUGAGAUUCAAAAAUCCAAAUCAAAUCAGAAAUGGUUCAAAUAAUUCUGGAAAAAAUCAUGAUCAUUCAACACAUUCAAAACAUCCAUCACACAAAAAAUAAG
rnacentral:lncRNA from 1 species